UCCGGUUUGACACCGGCAGUCUCCCUAGAGUGCCCGACUUUACUCGCUGGUAACUAGGGACGAGGGUUGCGCUCGUUGCGGGACUUAACCCAACAUCUCACGACACGAGCUGACGACAGCCAUGCAGCACCUGUGUUCCAGUUCCCUUUCAGGCACAGCCCCCUCUCAGGGGCCUUCCGGACAUGUCAAGGGUAGGUAAGGUUGUUCGCGUUGCAUCGAAUUAAUCCACAUCAUCCACCGCUUGUGCGGGUCCCCGUCAAUUCCUUUGAGUUUUAAUCUUGCGACCGUACUCCCCAGGCGGUCUACUUCACGCGUUAGCUGCGUUACCAAGUUAAUUAAAACCCGACAACUAGUAGACAUCGUUUAGGGCGUGGACUAC
rnacentral:misc_RNA from 1 species